UUUUUUUUUUUUUUUAAUUUUUGGUGAUAAUGACUUCUACCUCCUGGUACAGUGAGGGUACCUUUCUCAUGGGAGAUUUAGUUGCUGUUUCCAGGGGGACAAAGGGGGGUUUCUUUGCACUAACUGCUUCUUAAGUAAUUUUAAAGCAAUCAAUUUACUAAAAUAGCAUAUUUUGUGGUGGCGUAUCUCACUACCUUUCAUCUUCAUAGAUGAAAUCUUAGUAUCCUAGAAUAUUCCACUGUCUUAACCAUUGUGUAUCCUCAUUUGAAUACAAUCAGCCUGCCUUCAAUACAACACCUUCAUCUCCAAAUCGUUACUGCAUCUUAGAUGUUCACAUGUGGCCAUUUAUGAUUAUCAUUAAUUAAAUGCCCAUGGAUUUCUGUAAAUCACCGAAUGCUUCAUUCACUAUGAUUCAUUUGAAACAUUUUCAUCAUAAUCACUUCAUUAACUAAGCUUGUACAAUUGUGAUUUUUUUCAUUUGUUUCUUAGAAGUGUUUACUGACUCAUUGCAGAUUAAUAUGUAUGAAAAUGCUUCAUCAAAUGUUGAAUUGAAGACAGUCCUUUUCAAUAAGAAAUUGGCCUUUUCUAUUUGUUGCUAGAUAUUUAACAAAAGUAUUAUCAUCAAGCUAUUUAUCUGUCUCCAUAGACCUGCGCUAUUAAAUACUUAUGAUUGGCAAAGUGAACUUCAAUACACCUGAGCUCAGACACUGUUUUUUGUGGUGUAUUUUUUAUGGCAUUUGGAUUAUUAUAUAACUUUUUAAGACCUCAGAUUUCUUUACUUAUAUGUGGGAUAUAAAUGUGAGUAAUGUUUAAGCUUAUAGUGAAUAUUAGAUGAAAUAAUGGAUAUAAAGCACUUUCCCCAUUCCUGUCACAUAUGUCUUCUACAAAUAUGUUAUUCCUUUUUUAUUUUUACUACGGCUCCUGCUGUCACUGCUGCUGCUGUUGCUGCUUCUUCUGUUAUUACUACUACUAACAUUUACUAAAAUACACUUUCAAAUAAAUUUUUGAUGCUAAUUUGUUUUAUAUCAGUCGUGAUACUGUGCCAGGCUAAUGUAAUUAAAGGCAAUAAAAAUAUAAAUAUGAAGAAAAGAAUGAUCAACAUGUGUAACUACUAAAGGAAUAAUAAAGAACAGAGCAUCUAAAAAUCUAACCAGGAAUAUAAUAGAACUCAAUAAUAAUAUAUAAUCAAGGUAAAAUAAAAUUUAGUACAGGAUAAAAACUGAAUAAUAUGUAAUAAACAGGGUAAAAUAUAAGUAAAAAAAGCAGAUAGAGCUACUAACAAGCAAAUGGCAAAGUGAUAGACUAACGCCUCUUAUGUCAUGCUUUUACUAAAAGAAGUGCCCUGUUAAGUAAAAAAUAAAAACUGGACUUAUGUAAGGAGAGGCUUCACUGGGAAAGACUAUUACACUUGAGAGAGGAUAAAGAUUGCCAGUAAGGAGAUGCUGAAAGAAAAAGUCAGGUAAGUCUCAGGGAAGGGGUGGGUCAGCAGACUUUUUAUGGACAGAGGCCUUGGGAGGGUGGCUGUGUCAAGAAGGGGGAUACUAAAACCUGUUAGAAAGAAGGCCCUGACACCUAACAAACUGUCAGAUGUUCUGAUAAGAGGAAAUUUAAAGCAGCAAAUGUUCCUUUGUAAUUAAGCACAAAGAAUGGAGGUGGGAAACUCUGGGCAAAGUUAAAAGCUGGGGAAUUUAUAUAAAGGUCAGGAUGUAAAUGUCCUGGUUAAACCAUCCUACGGAUAUGUCAAAAACAAAGUUUGAUCAGCCAUGUCAGCUCUAAACAAUACAAAUAAAGAACAAUGUCUGCAAUCUUUUUGUGAAAAAAAAAAAAAAGAUGAAAUGUGUGGUCUUAAGAGGACAAAACUUCAUAUAAGGAAACAGAAACUUUGUAUGUAAAAGAAUGCAAAAGUAAAUAUUAUGCACAUACUGAAAAAUCAAAAGUGGUGUGGGUAUAUUAACAUAAAAGUUAAACUUGAAGGCAAGAAAUUUUAUAAGAGAUAAAGAGUAAUCAUUUGCAUUGAUGGAGGAAGUUAUAAUUUCAAAAGGAUAUACAAUUUAUUAUAUAGCUCUAUCUCAUAAAGCUAGAGAAAUCACAAAUCAUACAUCAUACUCAAAGAUAUUAAUGUAUUUUCUCAAUAACCAAUAGAUCAAACUGUAUCAUCAAUGAUAUAGAAGAUUUGAAUAAAAAAAUAUUAGCUCGGGGAGUUCCCUUCGUGGCGCAGUGGUUAACAAAUCUAAGAACCAUGAGGUUGCGGGUUCGGUCCCUGGUCUUGCUCAGUGGGUUAAGGAUCCAGUGUUGCUGUGAGCUGUGGUGUAGGUUGCAGACACGGCUGGGAUCCCUCAUUGCUGUGGCUCUGGCGUAGGCCGGUGGCUAUAGCUCUGAUUCAACCCCUAGCCUGGGAACCUCCAUAUGCCGCGAAAGCGGCCCAAGAAAUGGCAAAAAGACAAAAAAAAAAAAAAAAAAAAAAAAAAAUUAGCUCACUUGAAAUAGUUGGCAUAUCCAACAAUUGCUGUAAUUCAUGCCUUUAAAUUACACAUAGAACAGUGAUUAAAAUUGAUAACAUUAUGGUGUAGAAACAUUCAAUAAGUUCCAAAGGCUUGAAAUAAUAUAGAACAAUUUCCUUCAACACAUUAGGGCUCAGUAAUGUUAAAGCAAUUAGAAAAUGGCUAGAAAUUAAGCAGUACAUCAGUAAAUAUUCCAUGGAUUAAAGAAAAUAGUAAUUACAGUAGCUUUAAAAAUCUCUUGACUUGAAUGAUAAUGAAAGUAUAAUAUCUCAAAACUUGAGGACUGUGAUUCAUUACUGUAUAGAGGGAAAUUUAUGGUCUCAAAUGCUUUUAUAAGAAGGGGACAAACAAUAUAAAUCAAUGAUCUACACUGGAGGUUUCAGCUCUGACAUUUAAAUGGAUUGAAAAUUGUCACUCCCACUCUUAGAAAAAAAAAUGAACAAACUGAAAAUCAGUGACUUAUCUUGGACAAAUCAGAGAGCUAAACUUGCAGGACAAACUAUCAACCUGAAAAUUGGAGAGACAGGUAAAUGUAGAGCUAUAGCCAAAACUAGCUUAGAUCAGAUUUUGAAACCAUAAACUGAUAAAAAACUUUAAAUGGUAGUUUUGAUAAAUUGCUAGAGUCUGAGUGUUGUACCAGCUUAAGGGUGAGAAAUGUCUGCUGGGCACAGUCUUGAGGAAGGGGAUUCUUUUGUGUAUUUUGCGUCAAGGACACAUUAUUUUAGUAUGGCAAAGAGCAAAAUAAGAGUCCCUUAUGACCCUGGCAACGGGACGAGAACUAUGCCAGGAGCAUUCAUCAACAAAAACCUACUUUCCAAGGCAUAAGAGCCAUAUCCAAUUUGGUGGAAUAUUAUUAUUUGAAAAUCAGUCCAAGUAUACAACCAUAAAAACAGACUAAAAAAGAAAAGUUCUAUUAGUUGAUAUUGAGAAAUCAUUUGACAAAAUCCAAGACAAAUUGAUGAUAAGAACUCUCAGGAAUGAAUAGACUCUCACAAAUUGAUUUUAAAAAAUCUAAACAAAACAAAGUACUAUAGGUAGCAUUAUAAUAGAUGGUCAGAAACUAGAACUUUCCCAUUAAGAUGGGUAAAAAGCAAUGCCCUUUUUCACUGACACUGUUAAAAAUCAUACUGGAAAUACUAGAUAUUACAAUAAGACAGGAAAAUAAAAUAAAAAUUAAACUAUCUUUGUUCACAGAUGCAAUGAUUGUUCAUGUAGACUAUCUUAAAGAAAUACUGUGUAAUACCACCUACACUGUAACAAAACAAAAUAUUUAUAGCAUGGUUGCAUGAUAUAAAAUUAAUAUAUAAAAAUAAAUUUCUUUUUGUAUAUACCAACAAUGAGUAACAGGAAUUAUAAGUUAAAAAUGAAUAUAUUACAAUGGCACCAAAAGAGAAAUUAAUAGGUAUAAUUCUAACAAAUUAUUUAUUAAGAAAAUUAGAAAAUUCUGAUGAAAUAAAUUAAGGAAUGUCUAAAUAGUUGGAAAGAUACCCCAUGUCCAGAGUUCCCAUUGUGGUUCACUAGUUAACAAACCCACCUAAUAUCCAUGAGGAUGCACGUUCAAUCCCUGGCCUUGCUUAGUGAGUUAAGGAUCUGUCAUUGCUAUGAGCAGUGGUGUAGUUUGCAGAUGCAGCUAAGAUCCUGUGAUGCUGUGGCUCUGGUGUAGGCUGGUGGCUGAAGCUGCAAUUGGACCCUUAGCCUGGGAACCUCCAUAUACCAUGGGUGUAGCCCUAAAAAAAAAAAUCCCAUGUCCAUGUACUAGAAGACUCAAUAUUGUUAAUAUUGUUGAAAUGUUAUUUCUUCCUAUUUUCAUCUGUAGAUUGGUGCAAUCUCAAUAUCUUAAUAAGGUUCUUUGACAACGUUAUUCUGAAAUAUUUAUGUAGAGGCACAAAGUGAUAAUAGCAAAAACAGUAAUGAAGACGAAGAUCAAAGUUGAAGGACUUAACACUACUCAAUUUCAAGACUUAGCCUAAAGCUGUAUUAAUAUUGACAGUAAGGUCUUGGUGAAAAACUAGGCACACAGUUUGAUGGAAAAUAAAACAGAGUUACAAAAUAGACUCAAACAUUUAUCACCAACAAAUAUCUGACAGAGGAGCCAAGGCAAAAAUAAUUUUUUUUCAACAAGUGGUGAUGGAACAAUUUGCACCCGUAUAGGAAGGAAAUUAACCUAGAAACAGGUCUUUUAUCUUUCACAAAAAUUAACUCAAAAUUAAUCAUAGACUUCCCAAAUAUAAAACUCAAAUCCAUUAAACUUCUGGAAGAAAACAUAAAGAGAAUUUUGUGUGGCCUUGGAUUUGGUGAUGAUAUUCUAGGUACAACAUCAAAAGCAUGAUCUAUGGAAGAAAAAAAACUGAUAGACCAGAUUUUAUUAAAAUUAAAAUAUUUUGUUCUGUGAAAGACACUAUUAUGAGAAUAAAGACAAGCCAUAGACUGGGAGAAAACAUUUUUCAAAAAAUAUAUUUGAUAAAGAAUUUGUAUCCAAGAAAACCCUUUAACUCGAGUAAGUAAACAAACAGCUCGAUUUAAAGUUGGAAAAAAACCUAAAAAAACACUUUAUCAAAGAAGAUAUAUUGAUGGAAAAUAAGCAUAUGAAAACCUGCUUACAUGUUUCAUCAUUAGGCAAUUUGAAUGAAAAUACCAGCAAUUAUUUUCAAAACCUAUUGCACUGGCUAAAAUUCAAAAAUUGACAAUACCAUUGCUGGCAUGGAUAUAGAAAACAGUAAACUCAUUAUUGCUGCGGGAAAUGUAAGUAGUACAGAUACUUUACAAGGUAAUUUGAAAAUCAAUAAAAGGUAAACACAUGCAUAAUCUUACCAUAUUAUUCAGUGCUUCUCCCUCUAGGUAUUUCCCCAACUUAAAAAUAUAUACAUAAAAACCUUAACACAAAUGUUUAGAGAAGCUUUACUCAUAAUCACCAAAAAACUAACUGGAAGCAAUAAAAUGGCCUUCAAUGGGUGAGUUUACAAGCUGUGAUAAACCCAUACAAUAGGAUAUUCAGUGGUAAAAUUAUAUUCACUGUCAGGUUAUAAAUAUGCAUAGGUGAGUCAGUCAUUAGUACUUGCUGCUAAAAUUAGAAGAAAGGCAGUCUGAAAAGGCUGCAUUUUAUGCAAUUACAGUUGUGUGAUAUUAUGGAAGAAGAGAGAGAGAGAGUAAAAUGACCAUUGGUUGCCAUGUGUUUAGGGGGAUAAAGGGAAGAAUAACUGAAUUACAGGGGAUAUUUUAAAAUGAUGAAAUAUUCUAUAAGGUAACUGUAGUGAUGAAUACAUGAGAUUAUACAUUUAUAAAGCCCCAUGGAAAUUUACAGCACAAAGAAUAAUCCUUAACAUUUGCUAAAGGGAUAUGAAUAAAGUAAAGACUUUAAUAAUGUAUCAGUAAUGCUUCAUUAAUUGUAACAAAUUUACCUCACUAAUUACAGUACUAAAAAAUGAGAUGAACUGUGUACACAGUUUGUGUGAACUCUCUGUACUAUCCUCACAAUUUUUUUAUAAACCUAAAACUGUCAUAAUAAGUAAAUUCAUUCUAAUGAAAAACAAUAUAAACUGCCAGUGUAUGAAGCAAUGAAUAAAUAAAUAAUAGGGCAAAAAUAAUGAAGGAAAACAGUAAAACAAAAAGCACAAUUCAGUAAUUUAGCAGAAAUAUAGUGGAGAAAGUUAACAGUAUAAAAGAUGGUUUUUGAAAAUAGAGUAGCAAAAUAGGAAGAAAAUCACAGAAAGACAACUAAGAGAGGGAAAACCCAGGCUACCAAUAUUAUGAAUAAAAAAUAAAACAGUACUUCAUAUUCACAGAUAUAGAAAGAAUAAAUUGAUACUGUUUGAUACACAUAAGUUGAUAAUAACUUAGCAAUUAAUUUUUUUCAAAAAUGUUUUAUGUGAACAAAUUCCUUCAGAAAGCACAGUAUAAAAAAUCCUAGAAGAGAAGUAAAAAUGAAUGUUUUCUCGAACAUUACUCCAAGUCUGGUUGACUUCAUAAAUAUAUUUUUCUCAAACAUUUAAGGAAGAA
rnacentral:lncRNA from 1 species